rnacentral:rRNA from 1 species
UAACAAUCCUUCGGGUGCGUUAAUGGGCGUCGAGCGGCGGACGGGUGAGUAAUGCCUAGGAAAUUGCCUUGAUGUGGGGGAUAACCAUUGGAAACGAUGGCUAAUACCGCAUGAUGCCUACGGGCCAAAGAGGGGGACCUUCGGGCCUCUCGCGUCAAGAUAUGCCUAGGUGGGAUUAGCUAGUUGGUGAGGUAAUGGCUCACCAAGGCGACGAUCCCUAGCUGGUCUGAGAGGAUGAUCAGCCACACUGGAACUGAGACACGGUCCAGACUCCUACGGGAGGCAGCAGUGGGGAAUAUUGCACAAUGGGCGAAAGCCUGAUGCAGCCAUGCCGCGUGUAUGAAGAAGGCCUUCGGGUUGUAAAGUACUUUCAGUUGUGAGGAAGGGUGUGUAGUUAAUAGCUGCGCAUCUUGAC